ACGAACGCUGGCGGCGUGCCUAAUACCUGCAAGUAGAACGCUGAAGGAGGAGCUUGCUUCUCUGGAUGAGUUGCGAACGGGUGAGUAACGCGUAGGUAACCUGCCUGGUAGCGGGGGAUAACUAUUGGAAACGAUAGCUAAUACCGCAUAAUAUUGACUAUUGCAUGAUAGUCAGUUGAAAGGUGCAACUGCACCACUACCAGAUUGACCUGCGUUGUAUUAGCUAGUUGGUGGGGUAACGGCUCACCAAGGCGACGAUACAUAGCCGACCUGAGAGGGUGAUCGGCCACACUGGGACUGAGACACGGCCCAGACUCCUACGGGAGGCAGCAGUAGGGAAUCUUCGGCAAUGGACGGAAGUCUGACCGAGCAACGCCGCGUGAGUGAAGAAGGGUUUCGGAUCGUAAAGCUCUGUUGUAAGAGAAGAACGAGUGUGAGAGUGGAAAGCUCACACUGUGACGGUAUCUUACCAGAAAGGGACGGCUAACUACGUG
rnacentral:rRNA from 1 species